AACGAACGCUGGCGGCAGGCUUAACACAUGCAAGUCGAACGGAUCCUUCGGGAUUAGUGGCAGACGGGUGAGUAACGCGUGGGAACGUACCCUUUGCUACGGAAUAACUCAGGGAAACUUGAGCUAAUACCGUAUGUGCCCUACGGGGGAAAGAUUUAUCUGCAAAGGAUCGGCCCGCGUUGGAUUAGCUAGUUGGUGGGGUAAUGGCCUACCAAGGCGACGAUCCAUAGCUGGUCUGAGAGGAUGAUCAGCCACACUGGGACUGAGACACGGCCCAGACUCCUACGGGAGGCAGCAGUGGGGAAUAUUGGACAAUGGGCGCAAGCCUGAUCCAGCCAUGCCGCGUGAGUGAUGAAGGUCUUAGGAUUGUAAAGCUCUUUCACCGGUGAAGAUAAUGACGGUAGCCGGAGAAGAAGCCCCGGCUAACUUCGUG
rnacentral:rRNA from 1 species